rnacentral:rRNA from 1 species
AACGAACGCUGGCGGCAUGCCUAACACAUGCAAGUCGAACGAGAACUACGGGUUUUGUUGCGCACGGGUGCGUACCGCGUGGGAACUUGCCCUUAGGUUCGGAAUAAUUCACUGAAAGGGGUGUUAAUACCGGUUAAUGUAUUAGGAGCAAAGAUCUACCGCCUUUGGAUGGGCCCGCGUUGGUUUCGCCAGUUGGUAGGGUAAAAGCCUACCAAGGCGACGAUCCAUAGCUGGUCUGUGAGGAUGACCAGCCACACUGGGACUGAGACACGGCCCAGACUCCGACGGAGGGCUGCAGAGGUGAGUACUAUGCGAUGAACGAAAGCCUAAUCCAGCAAUGCCGCGUGAGUGAUGAAGGCCUUAGGGAUGUAAAGCUCUUUUUCCCGAGAUGAUAAUGACAGUACCGGGUGAAUAAGCUCCGGCUAACUCCGUG